CAUGACUUCUACAAUAUUAUUUUUAGGCAUUUAAAGAGGCGUUAGGACAUGCAAAUUAUCAAAACAUUGUCAAAGCUUUAGAAGAUGAAGAUAUACGAGAUGACUUCAAUCAUAAAAAGAUUAUGGAGCUCUUCCAUAAGGAAAUUCAGCAAAAAAUUGAUCCAUCAAUUUUAGCAGAAGAUCUUUUAGCUGAAGAACUAAUAAGUCAAGAUCAGUUUGAUGAAAUCAGAAAUUUAGAAGAAAAAAAAACACAAUGGAUGCAGUGUUUCUACUUCUGGACUCUAUCCCCAGGAUGAAAGAUCAAUGGUUUGAAACCUUUCUGAAAAUAUUAGAUAGGAAUGAACGUAAAGAACUCGUUGAAAUUUUAGAUGACACGUAUUAUUCUAAACAAGGGGACGGUGCUGGGAGUCAAAACAUAUCUGAUACAUUAACCACUUAUCAAGACAUUAACCAUGAGGCUGGAGAUGUGAACCCUGACCUAAAGCAGCCUAGCCUUGCAGUUCAUCAGAUGGCUGAGCCCAGUGGAGUUAACAGUGAUGUAUUUCAAGAAAUACAUGCCCUGAGACAGAUUCUUGAAAAACAGCAGCAGUUAUUACUGACACUGAACUCUAAGGUGGAAAAUAUUGAACAUUUGUUACAGAGAUUAGUGAGCAGUAAAGGCAGAAAUGAGAUUAGCUAGCAGUAAAGGCAGAAAUGAGAUUAGCUAGCAGUAAAGGGGAAUGACUUCCUUUUGAGAAAAAUCUUUUUUCUCUUAUGACAUUUAUACUUAUUUAAGAUGUGCUACCGAUAUAUAAACAGUAUUUCUAGAAACAUUGAUGGUGACUUUUCCAAACAGUUUCAAUGUGGUAAAUGGCAAGGCACUAUCCUUUCUAUUUAAUGAAAACAUUUCUUAUUGCAAGAAGUUUUUUUUUCUGUCUUGUCUUCUAUUUGGCAUUUAAAAAAACAACUUUCUAUCAAUUUUCAUAUGUUGUUUACAUUAGACCUCUAGUCCAAUAUAAUGUUUUACAGAGUGACAAUUUGUCUAGUCAUUAAUGAUCUGAACAAACUGGUAUGAGCUAAAGUAUUUACCUAUAUAUCUUGAGCUGAUUAAAAAGUAAAUUAAAAAAAAAAGCUCUUUAGCUCAGAGGAUGAUUAUGUAGUCUGACAUUUGAGAACUUCAGAGUACAUAGUGAAACAGAAACAAGAUUUAAUCUUUGAGUUAUCUUCCUGACUUAAAGUGGAAGAUACCUUGGCAUUUUGCUAGUCAGAAAGAAAUUCUCAUGCACUAAAGGAUAUCAUAAACACCAUCAGGUUGAAAGAUCAGGAAAGAUUGCAGCAUCCAGUUUGUCCCCUGGCCUUUGUUUAAGGUGCUAUAGAAAAUGAAAUGUAUUAAAAAGAGAAACCUUUAAACUAAAUUUAAUAACUUUUAAGGCAUAUCUAUUUAUAUAUAUAACUAUGUACAGCUGACAUAAAAUGUACACAAAUCAACUAUCUUUAUAAAAUGUAUAUAACAUGUUGCAUGCUUAAACUUUGUAUUAAAACUUUGAUAUUGUCAGUAAAA
rnacentral:sRNA from 1 species